rnacentral:rRNA from 1 species
GAUGAACGCUGGCGGCGUGCCUAAUACAUGCAAGUCGAGCGAACGGACGAGAAGCUUGCUUCUCUGAUGUUAGCGGCGAACGGGUGAGUAACACGUGGAUAACCUACCUAUAAGACUGGGAUAACUUCGGGAAACCGGAGCUAAUACCGGAUAAUAUUUUGAACCGCAUGGUUCAAAAGUGAAAGACGGUCUUGCUGUCACUUAUAGAUGGAUCCGCGCUGCAUUAGCUAGUUGGUAAGGUAACGGCUUACCAAGGCAACGAUGCAUAGCCGACCUGAGAGGGUGAUCGGCCACACUGGAACUGAGACACGGUCCAGACUCCUACGGGAGGCAGCAGUAGGGAAUCUUCCGCAAUGGGCGAAAGCCUGACGGAGCAACGCCGCGUGAGUGAUGAAGGUCUUCGGAUCGUAAAACUCUGUUAUUAGGGAAGAACAUAUGUGUAAGUAACUGUGCACAUCUUGACGGUACCUAAGCAGAAAGCCACGGCUAACUACGU